rnacentral:rRNA from 1 species
GACGAACGCUGGCGGCGUGCCUAAUACAUGCAAGUUGAGCGCUGAAGGUUGGUACUUGUACCAACUGGAUGAGCAGCGAACGGGUGAGUAACGCGUGGGGCAUCUGCCUUUGAGCGGGGGACAACAUCUGGAAACGAAUGCUAAUACCGCAUAAAAACUUUAAACACAAGAUUUAAGUUUGAAAGAUGCAAUUGCAUCACUCAAAGAUGAUCCCGCGUUGUAUUAGCUAGUUGGUGAGGUAAAGGCUCACCAAGGCGAUGAUACAUAGCCGACCUGAGAGGGUUGUCGGCCACAUUGGGACUGAGACACGGCCCAAACUCCUUCGGGGGGCAGCAGUAGGGAAUCUUUGGCAAUUGGCGAAAGGCUGACCGAACAACGCCGCGGUAGUGAAGAAGGGUUUCGGAUCGUAAAACUCUGUUUGUAGAGAAGAACGAUGGUGAGAGUGGAAAGCUCAUCAAGUGACGGUAACUACCCAGAAAGGGACGGCUAACUACGUG